CUAAAUAAGCCUGCACAUGAUCAUGCCGUCUGACUGCUUGGAGAACGGGUUGGGGCAGGAGAUAGAAGGUAUCGUGGGCGAACGGAGCCCAUGGAAGCACCACUCACCAGAUAUCCCUGAGGCUGGGCCUGGAAAAAGACCGACUGAAGCGACCCACUGGCGGCAGCUACGGAAAACCUACCAAACUACUGAAUUAAACCGACGCCUAAGCAAUGAAGCCCAUCGGCUCACUAAACGUCACUAACCAACGAGCGGCUCGCAAACACCAUGAGACUCUCAUGCACAG